UACCUGGUUGAUCCUGCCAGUAGUCAUAUGCUUGUC
rnacentral:rRNA from 10 species